rnacentral:lncRNA from 1 species
CGCCGCACUCCGGACAAUCUACACGUUUCACACAAUUCAACAAAUCAAUUAUCAGAACACAAAUAGAACCAAAACAAAACCAACAGCAAGAAAACCAUUUCAAAAACCCAACAACAGUAGCUUAACAGCACCUAAAAUGCACUACGGUCACAAUGCAAAAAGAAACACCUAAAACAGACAAACGGUUUGAAAGUUACGGCCUCCGGAAGAUUUAAUUCAAAUUCAAACGAAUUCAAAUUUGAACAGUGCAAACAUGUGCAAAGUUUGUACUAUGAUAAUGUGCUCAUUUUUCUGAGAUUAUGGGAAAAAGAAUCACCUAAUUUGGAAUUAUAUAAUAAAAGAUAUAGCUAGUUGAAGUUAGAGUUGAAAAUCUGAAAAAAAAACAAACAGAAACAGAAAUCUCCUGGGCACUGUAGCAACUCCUGUGCGUGUCCUGUAGCGAACUGCCACGUGUCAUCCUGUGAUUAGCCAGAGUUUGCUGUGUGUGCGUGCUCACCGGAAACAGAGGAAAAACGUCAGUGGCUUCGGGCGUCGGCGGCAGGGGCUCUCCGGCGAGUCUCCGGCGAAGGUGAGGUGACGGGCGGAGGCGGCUUCGAGUUGCGGACGCAGUGGUGGUGUUUUUUUCAACGGCGACGGGGCUCCCUCGAGCGGCGGUGGCGAGCUCCUGACCUCCGGCGUGCUCCGGCGAAGUCAGGCGUUGGUGGCGGCGUCGUCCUGGUGCGCUGCAGGUUAACCCGAGGUGUCAAACGAGUGCGGCGUCGAGAGAGAGAGAUCGAGUGGAGCAGGAGGCGCGGCUCUGCGGGCUCUUACGGCGGCGCAAACGAGCGGUGAACGACGGCGGCCGCGAGCUCCUCCUGCGAGAUCCAAAACACCGGACAGAGGCGUUUGGACGAGAGGUGAUGGGGAAAAGGCUGCGGUAGGGUUCUUCGAGGGGUUUUGCCCGCAUGGGGGGUCUCGGGCGUGCGCGGGAUCGACCACGGGCGCGGGGCAAUCCGGCUCGGCCUCGGCGUGCGUGCGUGCGUGCGGCACUCGGUGUCCGGCUUGGUGUGGAAGAAACAGGGGCACGUGGGGUCAGCGGGUGAGCGGCUGAAGCGAUGCGGGUCGGGUGAGCGGCGUACCGCUUCGCUGCGGCUUAGGUGGGAUGCGGCUGAAGUGAUGCGGGUCGGGCGAGCGGCGUACCACUUCGCUGCGGCUUAGGUGGGCUGCGGCUGUGCGGGGUUAGGUGGGCCGCGGUGGCUGCAGUGGUGUGGGCGGCGCUGCUGGGCCGGCUGGCUGGCUGGGCUGCGGGCUGGCCGGCUCGUUGCCUUUUUUUUAAACACAGCAGCAGAAAACAAAAUAAAUAAAAUAAAAUACACAAUAUAAAUUCUAAAUAAAAAUACCUAGACACACAGUCAAAAUAGCACUACAGCUAUAAACUACAGGAACACUAGUUCCAACACUAAUGCAAUUUUCGAAAAUAGUUUUUAUGCAAUAGGCAACACAUAACAGCAACAAAACACUCAAAUAAAAUAUUUUGAAGAUUGCAAAAAUUACCAGAAUAUAUUAGAUGAACUGGAAAUAAUAUUCUGCACAUUAUGAACAUUUUUAAACAGGGGAGAAGUCACGUUAUCUCCACUCCAAUAAAUUGCCUUUGUUGCAUAAUGAUUUGAAUAUUUUUAAAAAGGCAAAUAAUGUAAUAAAAAUAUGAUAUGCAUAUGAAUGAUCUAAUAACAUCCUAAUUUAGGAAAAUUGGGAUGUUACAAACCUACCCCCCCUUAAGAUGAAUCUCGUCCUCGAGAUUCGGGCUGAUUAGCAAAUAGGUGUGGGUGAUCGUGCCUGAGAUCUUCCUCUCGUUCCCAGAUAGCUUCCUCCUCGGUGUGAUGAUUCCACUGAACCUUGCAUAACUUAAUUGUCUUAGUGCGAGUAACUCUCUCUGCUGUCUCCAGAAUCUUAACAGGUUUCUCCUCAUAUGUCAAAUCACUCUCCAACUGAAUUGCCUCAAGUGGCACUGUGUCCCUCAAUGGAACAUCCAUCAUCUCUGCAUGGCACUUCUUCAACUGAGAUACAUGGAACACAUUAAGAACUCCUGACAAGGAUUCUGGCAACUCCAGCUGAUAAGCUACCUCUCCUCUAUGCUCCAAGAUCUUGUAAGGCCCCACAAAAUGUGGUGCUAACUUACCUUUGAUUCCAAACCUCUUAAUUCCACGAAGUGGUGAAACUCGAAGAUAUGCGCGGUCUCCUACCUCGUAUGUCACCUCCUUACGUUUUGCAUCUGCAUAACUCUUCUGCCUAGACUGUGCUAUCUUCAGCCUGUCACGAAUCAACUUGACCUUCUCCUCAGCAUCUCUGAUCAAGUCUGGCCCAAAGAACUGACGCUCUCCAACCUCAUCCCACAUCAAUGGUGUUCUGCACUUCCUACCAUACAAUACCUCAAAUGGUGCCAUCUUCAGACUAGCCUGGUAACUGUUAUUAUAUGAGAACUCUGCAUAAGGUAAAUUAUCAUCCCAACUGGACCCAUAAUCCAAAGCACAAGCUCUCAACAUAUCCUCCAAAAUCUGAUUUACCCUCUCUGUCUGCCCAUCUGUCUGUGGGUGGAAAGCUGUACUGAAUUCCAGCCUGGUGCCCAAGGAUUCAUGCAACUGACGCCAAAAUUUGGAUGUGAACUGAGUACCUCUAUCAGACACUACCUUCCUUGGAACUCCAUGCAAACAAACAGUUUUAGACAUAUAAAUCUUUGCUAGCUGAGCACUGGUAUAAGUAGUCUUUACCAGGAUGAAGUGAGCAACUUUAGUCAAACGAUCAACAACUACCCAAAUAGAAUCAUAACCUGAUCGAGUCCUGGGUAGACCUGUAAUGAAAUCCAUACCAAUCUCAUCCCACUUCCAAUCAGGUAUAGGCAAUGGCUGUAACAAACCUGCUGGUCUCUGAUGUUCCGCCUUAACUCUCUGGCACACAUCACAUGUUGCAAUAUACCCAGCAAUCUCCCUGUUCAGGCUAGGCCACCAAAAUCUUUCCCUCAAAUCCAAAUACAUCUUAGUAUUACCUGGGUGAAUAGAAUAAGGUGAAUCAUGCGCCUCCUGAAGAAUCAACUUCCUGAUAUCUGCAUCUUGAGGUACACAAAUACGCUUCUCAUGGCUCCAUGUUCAUCCUCACGGAAACCUUGUGCCUUACCUUUAACCAUAUUCUCUUUUAUCUCAGCAAUCUCCUUAUCAUUUUUUUGAGCUUCUCUGAUCCUGUCAAGCAAAGUAGGCUUUACCUCAAGUGUUGCUAAAUAUCCCUUAGGAACCAUCUCCAACCUGAGAUUCCUGAAUUGUUCACAUAACUCGGGUGGCAUAUUAUCAAUAUUAAUUGCAUUAGCAUGGCUCCUACGACUCAAUGCAUCAGCAACAACAUUAGCCUUACCAGGAUGAUACUGCACAUUCAAAUCAUAAUCUUUAAUAAGCUCCAACCAUCUCCUCUGCCUGAGGUUCAAAUCCUUCUGAGUAAAAAUAUACUUCAAGCUCUUAUGAUCAGUAAAUAUAUCACAAUGAUUACCAAUAAGAUAUGGCCUCCAAGUUUUCAAUGCAUGCACAACUGAGGCUAACUCCAAAUCAUGUGUAGGAUAAUUAUGCUCAUGAUUCUUAAGCUGGCGUGAAGCAUAAGAAACAACUUUACCUUCCUGCAUCAAAACACUCCCAAGUCCUUGACGAGAAGCAUCACAAUAUAUCUGGAAGUCCUUAUGUAUGUCUAGCAGAGUUAAAACUGGUGCCGUAACCAAGCGCUGCUUCAAUUCCUGAAAGCUGGCUUCACAUUCAUCAGUCCAAACAAACUUCUUCUCUUUGUUCAGCAAUUCGGUCAUAGGCUUUGCGAUCUUGGAAAAGUUCUCAAUAAACCUCCUGUAAUAACCUGCAAGGCCCAAAAAGCUGUGAAUCUCUCCAACUGUCGUGGGUGUCUCCCACUCUGUAACUGCAGCAACCUUAGAUGGAUCAACUGUAACUCCAUUACCUGACACAACAUGUCCAAGGAAAGCUACCUCAUCCAGCCAAAACUCACAUUUUCUAAACUUGGCAUACAACUGAUGUUCCCUCAGUUUCUCCAAUACCAAACGCAGAUGCACCUCAUGCUCUUGCUUAUUCUUGGAGAAUACCAAUAUAUCAUCAACGAAAACAACCACAAAUUUAUCCAAGAACUCCAUAAACACCUUGUUCAUCAUAUUCAUGAAGUAUGCAGGAGCAUUAGUCAAUCCAAAUGACAUAACAGUAUAUUCAUACAACCCAUACCUCGUAGUAAAAGCAGUCUUUGGAAUAUCUUGCUCACGAAUCUUCAAUUGAUGGUAACCAGAACGGAGAUCAAUCUUAGAAAACACAGUAGCUCCCUCCAACUGGUCAAACAGAUCAUUUAUGAUAGGCAAAGGAUACUUAUUCUUAAUGGUUACCUCAUUGAGAGAACGAUAAUCAACACACAUCCUCAAGGUUCCAUCCUUUUUCUCCACAAACAAACCUGGAGCUCCCCAAGGUGAUGAACUUGGGCGAAUAAAUCCUUGUGCCUGCAAUUCUCUUAUCUGCUUCUUCAAUUCCUCCAACUCUUGAGGAGGCAUUCUAUAUUGUCUCUUUGCUAUAGGUCCAGUGCCCGGUAUUAAAUCAAUAAGAAACUCAAUAUCUCUAUCUGGUGGCAUACCUGGCAACUCCUCUGGAAACACAUCUGGAUAAUCCCUCACGACUGGCACCUCUUCUAGGCUAGCCCCCUUAAGAGAGUUCACAUGUACCUGCUUAUGCUUAUCCUUACAUACAUAUUUGAUCCUCUUCCCUCCUGGUGCACUGAGAGUAAUAGAUCGACUGGCACAAUCAAUAAAACCCUCAUACUUGAUCAUCCAGUCCAUACCAAAAUAAUAUCCAGACCUUGUGACUUCAGUAUAAAUAAAUCUGUAGGAAAAACAUGCUUCCCAAUAGACAAAGGCAUCUGAAAACAACCCAAACUUGCUGCCAUCUCAGCCCCCGGAGAACUUACUAGAAUAGGUGACUUAAGUACUACGGUAGACAGCUUAUGUUUAUCCACAAAUACCCGUGAUAUGAAUGAAUGUGAUGCACCAGAAUAAAAAAGAACAAGCGCAGGUAUUGAAUUGAUCAAAAACUUACCAAUCACUGCAUCAGGUUCAUUGUAGACCUCCUCCACAUUAACAUGGUUGACAUGACCCCUUUGGAUGGGGUUUGGCUUGCUCACUCCUGAAAUCCCAUUACCGUUCUUGCUCUCUGGACAAGCAUUGGAGUAGUGGCCCAUCUGCCUACACUUGUAGCACUGAACCUGACUAAUAUCCCUCUGCACAGGCAUACUCUGGUGGCUCUGGUUAUUAUUCCCUCCAUUACCAUUACCAUUACCAUUGUUACUCUUGUGCCCAUUGUGAUGAUGGUGGCCAUUAUGGUUGUGGCCAUUCCCUCCAUGGUGAUUAUGAUGCCCAUUACCUCCAUGAUGAUUAUGUCCAUUACCUCCAUUACCAUGAUAUGAAGUGCGUGGCUUCUGAUGUGGUCCUGAAUUAUACCUGUUAUUGUUGUUGUACUUCCUCUUGCGAUUCUCUAUGGCAUGUUGCUUCCCUCCAGCACAAUAGCCUUACCAAUCAGGUCCUGACAAUUCCUAAAAGUGGCCACUGUCAACUAAAGGCUCAACUCAUCAUUAAGGCCCUCCAAGAAUUUCUCCUGCCUAGCUGCAUCAGUGUUAACAUCAUUAGGAGCAUAACGUGCAAGAUUAUUAAAUUCCUUCACAUACGCAUUAACUGUGCGACCUCCCUGGCGCAAACUGCGGAACUCCUUCUUUUUCAGACUCAUAGCACUAGCAGACACAUGUGCAGCACGAAAAGCAUCCUGAAACUGAGGCCAUGUGAUAGUAGCAAUGGGAUAAGUGACCAAGUAGUUGUCCCACCAAGCUGCAGCAGGACCCUCCAACAAAUGUAAGGCAAACCUCACCCUCUCUGCAUCUGUGCAUCCAACCGUCUCCAGGUUCCUAUUGACUGCACGGAGCCAGUCAUCGGCCACAAUAGGUUCAGGGGAACUGGAGAACCUCUGAGGAUUCAACCUCAAGAACCUGGUAAGCAUAUCCACUGGUGGAGGUGGUGGUGGAUUGUUGUUGUUAUUGUUGUUGUUCUGGUUCUGGACAAGCAACUGGAUCAACUGAGCUUGUCCCUGAAGCAACUGUUGCAUGUAUGGCGGUACAUCAUUGCCAUUGUUGUCUCCUCCUGCAGCAUUACGCCUAGUAUCACGCCUCGGCGGCAUCUGGUGGGCAAGCAUAGAUGAGUUAUAGAUAUAAUAGGACCAAAGCUAUGUAUAUAUAAAUAUAUUCUACCCAUAUGCAUAAUAUGAUCAAGCCAACAAAACACAACAACAAAUCACACCAACAAACAAACAACAAACAACAAACAAUAUGAUAACAUUAUAUAUAUAGUCGAAUAAUUUCGACAAGGUGUAAUUUAACAAACAACUAACAAUCAAGCAAACAAUCUAGUAUCUUCAUACCAUGAAAGUGGGCAUAAUCAGAUACGCUAACACGAUAACAUUGCAAUAUAAAACAAACAUGAAUGGUGGUCUCAACACUAGUUCCUACUUAACUGUUCAAGAUACUUGAGGGGUUAACUAAUAAACAGUAAGAAGUAUACCUAGUUUUAUAAAAUAAUUUUCACUCCUAUAGCUUUUCUAAUCCAUUUUCUAGGGUCACGUCCUACAGUCAACACACUGCUCUGAUGCCAUCUGUAACGACCAAACCUCGAAGGAUUUGAGUCUCUGUGCUUACUGUGCUAGUCCCUGGAUCGAACUCGCUAGCACACACAGUAUAGAUGAAUACCAGAAUAGCAAGUGCAUCAUUUAUUACAACGUAUGAUCCAGAAUGUAUAAAAUAAAACAAUCUGCAUAGCACUUGGCCAGCUUUAUUCAAUCAAACAGCGGAAAGUAGCAGAAAAUAACGAUGAGUCCCGUCAUAGCCCACUGCCGAUGCUGAGUGCAGACUCGCGACCCUAACGGUACCUUACUCUUCGUCUGAAUAUCCUGCAACAUGAGACGUUGCAGCCAUAUAGGCCAAUACAUGGAAUGUAUUGGCAAGUUACACAGGAGUAAUAAUAUAGCAGACCUACAUGUAUAUGCAUAAUAUAACAAAAGGAAGGCUUGAGGGUUUAUUUUGUAGAAAGCUGAUUUUGUCCUCAUAACUACCUAAGAGUCAAAUUUUUAUUUAGUUCUUUUAUUACUACAAUUAAACACACAAGGUUGAGUUGGCAAAAUCAACUCCAACCUACCCUUUAUUAAGUUGCCCAACAAAUUUAUUAAGUGUCACAUCUGUCAAGAUCAUCCAACAACUGUAAUGGCAUAGUCACUCAAAUUUACCCAUAACUGGGGGCACGGCUAAUCAUGAUUAGUUUUAAUACUGUGCAGAGUUUUGCACACUUUACCCACUAGACUCAACCCGAAGAUUGAGACGAAGUCUUUCAGAAGCAGUCACCUCCACCCCCGGCAGCCGGUACACCUACUCAUAUCUACAUCUGCUAGCUUACCUGGGCGAGGAUCCCACAACCUACUCAACUAAGCUAGAGCCCAUUUAGCUAGUGGUUGCGCAUGGAAGCUACUAGUCACUAAGUCUCUGUGAUCUUUUUGAGCCUGGGCGGCCAUCCACUUACAUUCAGAGGGUAUAAACCAUGAUGUUCUUGAAACCACCCUUCAAUACCAAUUCCGCCCAGAGGUGAAUUAAGUCCUUAAUUACUACUCAAUUUGUUAUAUUUAUAGUCAUCACAUAAGCUCAAUGAAUACACGAACCACCCCCGUCUACAAAGCAUAGCAAGCUACAACUACCACGAUUGCAAAACACGGGAAGAUAGCUCAACGGCAUAGCAAAAUUUAUAUAUUAAUCCUAUACAUGCAUAUAUUCAUAGUGUGAUAUAACUACAUGCAUAGAAAACAAUAGGUAAAGGAUGAUCAACAUGUAACUUGCCUUGGUUCUGGUUCAGAAAGUCACACUCCUGACAAUAGCUCGCGUCGCACUCCGGACAAUCUACACGUUUCACACGAUUCAACAAAUCAAUCAUUGGAACACAAAUAGAACCAAAACAAAACCAACAGCAAGAAAACCAUUUCAAAAACCCAACAAUAGUAGCUUAACAGCACCUAAAAUGCACUACGGCCACAAUGCAAAAAGGAAGACCUAAAACCGACAAACGGUUUGAAAGUUACGGCCUCCGGAAGAUUUAAUUCAAAUUCAAACGAAUUCAAAUUUGAACAGUGCAAACAUGUGCAAAGUUGGUACUGUGAUAAUGUGCUGAUUUUUGUGAGAUCAUAGGAAAAAGAAUCACCUAAUUUGGGCUUAUAUUAUAAAAGAUAUAGCUAGUUGAAUUUAGAGUUGAAAAUCUGGAAAAAAAACAAACAGAAACA